rnacentral:lncRNA from 1 species
UUAGGGUUUGAUUUAGGGUUUGGAUUAGGGUUUGGAUUAGGGUUUGGUUAGGAUUGGAUUUGGAGUUUGAAUUAGAAUUUGGACUAGAGUUUGGUUAAGGUUUGAUUUAAGGUUUGGUUUAGGGUUUAGGAUUUGGAUUAGAGUUUAGGGUUGGAUUAGGAUUUGGAUUAGGAUUUAGAAUUUGGUUAGGAUUUGAUUUAGGAUUUGGAUUAGGGUUGGUUAGGAUUUGAUUUAAGGUUUGAUUUAGGGUUUAGGGUUGGAUUAGGGUUUGGUUUAGGAUUUGAUAUAGGAUUUGGUUUAGGAUUUAGGAUUUGGAAUAGGCUUUAAUUUAAGAUUUGUUUAGGAUUUGAUUUAGGGUUUAGGAAUUAUUAGGGUUUAAGAUUUAAUUAGGUUUGAUCUAAAGUUAAUUGAAAUUCAAUAGCGUUUUUACUAGAAUUAAAUUAAGGUUGAAUUGACAUAUAUUUGAGUAAAAUUUGUGAUCAUUCUAAUAUUUCUUUAAGAAUUUUAUUGUUUAUUUGAAAUUUCUUUGAGUUGUUUUGAAAUUGAUUACGUUUGUUUACUAUUAUUAUAGUCUAAUAAGAGCAUUGUUAGUAUUCUAUUUCGGAUUUUUUUAUCGCAAUUUCUAUUCUUCCUUCUACAACUAGGUGGCCGAAGCAUUCUCAAGCAAGACUUCACACAUUAUGACAGCGCAUCUCUUGUCG